UACGGGGGGAGCAAGCGUUGUUCGGAUUUACUGGGCGUAAAGGGCGCGUAGGCGGCCACCGCAAGUCGACUGUGAAAUCUCCGGGCUUAACUCGGAAAGGUCAGCCGAUACUGCGGGGCUAGAGUGCAGAAGGGGCAACUGGAAUUCUCGGUGUAGCGGUGAAAUGCGUAGAUAUCGAGAGGAACACCUGCGGCGAAGGCGGGUUGCUGGGCUGACACUGACGCUGAUGCGCGAAAGCUAGGGGAGCGAACGGG
rnacentral:rRNA from 1 species